GUUGGCUGUGCUGUGAGGAAGAAGGAGUCAGUACUAAGAGGAGCUGCCUAUCAGAAAUCACCAAGAAGAUGUGCCCUGUCCUGGCAAAGUGAAAUGGGCAAGGUGUCACUAGGCAGGAGAGAUGGACUUCAGAACUUGCUGCAAGGGCUCUUGCUGGCACUGCAGUACAAACAACAUUCUCAGCAGCUUGCAGCAGCUGUGAGAUUUGCAGCAAGAAAGGGUGUCACAUACUACAUCAGCUAAGUGAGGGGGAAUAAACCUCAGGCCAGCCCUGUGUGCUUCUACCCUGAGAUACUCAUACUGCAGGGAAGCCUUUUCUAGGUUCUGAAUUCAAUUUACAGAAGGAAAAGUGCCAAAUAAGAGCAAAUGUUUUAAUUAUAAAGAAACACUUUUCUUAGGUGAGACAAUUGCUAUGUUUGUGAAAUGAAUUUAAUGUGCUACACAGUCUACCAGAGUUUUUA